AUUGAACGCUGGCGGCAGGCUUAACACAUGCAAGUCGAGCGGGGUGAUGGUGCUUGCACUAUCACUUAGCGGCGGACGGGUGAGUAAUGCUUAGGAAUCUGCCUAUUAGUGGGGGACAACAUCUCGAAAGGGAUGCUAAUGCCGCAUACGUCCUACGGGAGAAAGCAGGGGAUCACUUGUGACCUUGCGCUAAUAGAUGAGCCUACGUCGGAUUAGCUAGUUGGUGGGGUAAAGGCCUACCAAGGCGACGAUCUGUAGCGGGUCUGAGAGGAUGAUCCGCCACACUGGGACUGAGACACGGCCCAGACUCCUACGGGAGGCAGCAGUGGGGAAUAUUGGACAAUGGGGGGAACCCUGAUCCAGCCAUGCCGCGUGUGUGAAGAAGGCCUUAUGGUUGUAAAGCACUUUAAGCGAGGAGGAGGCUCUUUUGGUUAAUACCCAAGAUGAGUGGACGUUACUCGCAGAAUAAGCACCGGCUAACUCUGUGCCAGCAGCCGCCGUAA
rnacentral:rRNA from 1 species